AUUGAACGCUGGCGGCAGGCCUAACACAUGCAAGUCGAGCGAGCGGCGCACGGGUGAGUGUUGUCUAGGAAAAUGCCCGAUGUAGGGGGAUAACUACUGGAAACGGUAGCUCAUAUCGCCUACCAUCAGAUGUGCCCCGAUGGGAGUAGCUAGUGGGUGGGGUAACGGCCCACCUAGGCGACGAUCCCCAGCUGGUCUGAGAGGAUGACCAGCCACACUGGGACGGAGACACGGCCCAGACUCCUACGGGAGGCAUCAGUGGGGAAUAUUGCACAAUGGGCGCAAGCCUGAUGCAGCCAUUCCGCGUGUGUGAAGAAGGCCUUCGGGUUGUAAAGCACUUUCAGCGGAGAGGCGUUACCCGCAGAAUAAGCACCGGCUAACUCCGUGCCAGCAGCCGCGGUAAUAC
rnacentral:rRNA from 1 species